UAAAAUUUUAAUCCGUAAGGGUUGAGAACCUGCAACAGGUUCGAGCCGAGCGAAGCGAGACGACAACGCGUUAGCGUUGCCCGUAGGGCGAGUCCAAACGACGAGUCAAUCCCGCACGGCCCACCA
rnacentral:sRNA from 1 species